ensembl:lncRNA
UGCCUUUUAUUUUUUCCCCUGUUUGCUAUUUCACAUUCCUGUCACUGAAGCGUUGUGGCCUAAGACACAGAAGGUAACUGAAACAAUGUGGUUUAAGUCAAGGUGAUCAUUCGGGGUCCAAGCACAUUGGUUUGUGUAGAUGAUGCAGUUACACAAUGAACGUGUCUCUUUUCAAGUAAAUUGUGAGUCCUUUUGUGAGUACUAUUAUAUGCACAACAUGAAAAUAGAUAACUAAUAUAGUGUCCCUUCUACACUUUUUCCGUAAUGUGUGAUAACUUGAAAAAUAUGUUGUCAAUACAAUUAAAAUAACAAAGUAAUGGUAUUUAGGAGAUGAUAGCUUUUGCAUAAUUACUAUAUUGGGCUUUAUUAAAGUUUAUGAAAAAAGAAGGAAUGUUUAUGCAUUUUUUAUUUAUGCACAUAAAUGAAACAUUUUCAAGUCUUUGAACAGAUCUUGAAGUAUUUGCUAUCCUGUGGCGCCAUCGAGUGGAUAACAUUAGCAUUGUGGCCUUCAUUUUUGAACAACAUUAUGAAAGGGGCCAAUAUUUUUUGAAUGAUUAUAAAUAUUUAAUGAUUAGUUUACUGAUAAUAUACCCACAUUAAAAUCUAAUUUACUGAUUCUGUGUCUUAUUUCAUGCUUAAUCAUGAGUUUAAUUUUCAAUUUACAUUUUAAGCAGUGUUGAAUGAUUACUAUGUGAGUUGCUAAUUUUUUUUUUUUUUUUUAUUUUUUUAUUUUAGGGUUUACAUUUUAAAAAAUUAGCCUACUUCAAACAUUUUAAGCAGCUUGAACAAAACCUCUUAAUAUUUAUUACAGACCACUGUAACUGUCUAUAAUCUAAAAAACAAAUUUCUUAUGAAAAUAAAAGUGUGUACACCAGUUAAAUUGGACGAUAAAGAAAUUGCUAACAAUAGUUUAUAGUGCAUGUUUUAAGUUUAUAGGUGUUUGGAUGCAGAAAUGGACAAAUCAAAUGUAAAAUAACAUGUCAUCGAUUUAGUUAAAUAUAGAUUAA